CCUGCUCAAUGAUAAUUAAAUAGCCGCUAUAAGUGCUAAAGUAGCAUAAUAAAUUGCUCUUUAAUUAAGAGAUAGAAUGAAAGGAAACACGAUUUAUUAAUUGUAUCAAAAUAUUCUCUAAAAUUAUCCCUAUUAGUAAAAAUACAAUUAUCAUCUAAGCAAGACGACAAGACCCUGCUGAACUUCUCCUUACGUUUUACUGGGAAGGUAAAAAAUAAAAUCUUUUAACCUUUUCCUAUUCACGCCACAAUAAAAUAAAAUUAAGUUACCACAGGGAUAACAGCAUAAUAAUUUUCCAAAGUCCAUAUCUAAUAAAUUGAUUAUGACCUCGAUGUUGAAUUAAUACUCCUAAUUACAGAAAAAAGUAAAAAAGAUAGUCUGUUCGACUAUUAAACUAUUACAU
rnacentral:rRNA from 1 species